ensembl:lincRNA
CUGAGUACUCAGAACCGGUUCUGGUUUCCUAGUGGGCUCUGGGUCUCCAUCUGGUUUGAAGGCUAUUUUGAUCCACCGGAUGCAGAUUAGCUGCUGCGAUCUGGGGCUAAGCGGUUGGAGAGACGCCUUUAUCUAUAGGAGAACAAUUUAAAACUAACUCAAAGCACAGAGAACAAAUAAAUAAAUUCCUCUCUCUGUUCCAAGCACUCUCCAUCCUGUUUCUACAGGUAAUUGCAAAGGGAUUUUUUUUUUUUUUUUUUGCUUCAAACAGACUCUCGUUUGCAUGGAGCGUGGGGUACUUCAGAGUGGACUGGAGACCGGCCGACUUCUUGCCCAGAACACCAGUCUCUUGUUUUUCUGCCUGGAGAUUGACAGCCCCCUGCUAAUACAGCCUUGGAGAUGCCAGGUGCUGGCGGAACCGACGCCUCGCUGCCUCGGCCUCCCUCCCAGAACUAACUGCUCCGUGGCUGACUCAGGCCAAUGUAGCCGCACCUGUCUGCUGCCUGCACUGCCGGCUGAUGGAUGAGGCUGCGAGCCCCGUGCUGCAGAAGGCUCAGGAAUCAGGGGCACAGACAUGACGAUCUGCUGAGUUAUGGACUAGCUAACGAGACUCUUGACACCAGCAAGCCUGCAACUGCCCUAAUUGUGCCCUCUUCCUGAUUCUCUAGCCUUUUAAGCAGGCCAGGUCUUAUGAACCUAUGAACCAGUCUGCAUUAAGAUGCAUUAGCAUCCUCUGUCAUCUCUACUGCCAAGAUGAAGUGACUAGGGUUAGCUUGGGGGAAAGAAAGCUCUAUCAUUGGGAAGUAACAUCAUUUCAGUGUCUGCUGUUUGCCUAGUACUGUUCUAGGUGCUUGAAAAACUACUGAGUUGUAGUUGAAUUUUGCACAAUAGACAUUAUCUUCAUUUUAGAAAAGAGAAACAGAGACUCAGAAUAGUCUGCCCUGGGUCAGGUUUUCAGUUGUUGUUCAUGACAGCAAGCAGCUCAAACUGACUCUAGAUGACUAAAACAGAAUGGGAAUUCAGGAGAAAGAGAUGGAGAGCUCACAGAAUGUAUGAAGAUUAAAAAACAGGCACAAACCACGAUGUUCAGGGUCAGGGCCAAGACCACACCACUAAGAGUCUGUUAGGAGACUACUGCCAGGAAAAACGCAUUUCAAACCCUUCCUACACCUUAACACCCAAGUUCUCAAGUGGGAUCAUCUGAGGGUUGGCAAGCCUGUGCCACACCUCAUUUACAGAAGGCAGGGCCACUUUGGUGGACUCUGGCUCUGAUCAAGAGUCACAUGAUGAGUUCCUAAUACUGAAAGGGAGUUUCCAAGUUCAGCAGCCACACUUGUUGAGCCAGCAAACCAUCACACUGUUCCCAACUACUGCAACACUGGUAAGAGGCCCAGCAAGGGCAAGUUACAUCUCCUGGCUCCAAGUCAUGUUCUCCUUCUACCACAAUCAGGGGAGAAGAACAAACUAUUGAAAAACUGGUGGGGGCCUUGGUUCUGGCCAAUCAGAAUAGAGGCCAGGAGUAUGGCUCACGCCUGGAAUCCCAGUGACUUGGGAGGCUGAAGCAGGAGGAUCCCAAUUUCCAUGCCAGCCCUGCCAUUUUGUGAGACCCUAUCUCAAAGUUAAAAAUAAAAAAGGUUAGGGGUAUGGCUUAGUGGUAGUAUGCCAGUUUAGCAUUUGUAAGGCCCUUGGGCUUGAUCCAUACUAGGGGGCCAGGGAAUACAGAAGCCAGAAGAAAUAGCAAGUUCAACCACACAGUAGUACCCAUCAACUGACUAUCAGCUCUAUAUACUAAUAGAGCAAAAUUAAGACUCAGGGCUCCUGGAUGCCCAGGAUGGAGUCUCUUGCUACUAGGACCAUGCUCCCCAAACUUUUUCAUAGAAAAUGAUAAUAGUCAACAGGUCAGCUGAGGGGUUUAAAAUAGAUGAAUGAAUAGAUAGAUAGAAAUAAAAUUAGUAUAAAAGAUACUUUGUUCACAUCAUAUUAUGAUGAUAAAAAUCCAGGAAAAGCCCCUUGAACUCCAGGCUGUUAUAUCCAACUGCUUACUUGACAUCUCCACUUAACCACACAAUAGAUUUCUCAGGAAGAGUGCACUGAUACCUGCACACCUGUUCUCCCCUCCUUCACAACCAACCGCCCUACCUGGUUCUCCCCAGCCUUCAGAGUCAUCUCCCACUCUCAGGGUCCCAUCCUCCGCACAGUCUGUCUGCCUAUCUGAAUUGCAAAAAUAUGUGCCUAUCCUUCAUGUUGUGUAUCAGAAAACCCUCUGGCUUGACCCUGAGCUCAUGUUAAUGAACUUGCCACCUUUGCUUUGACCAUUUUGUUUCAGCCAACAUCACGUCCUCCUCAGGUUCUUACAAUGGCAACCUAACAAGUCCUUGUUUUCUUUUUUUGAGGGGGGGAUGGGGUAGAGAUUGAACCAAAGGGUGCAUUACCACUGAGCCACAUCCCCAGCCUUUUUAAUAUUUUAUUUAGAGGUAGGGUCUUGCUAAAUUGCGUAGGGCCUUGCUAAAUUGCUGAGGCUGGCUUUGAACUUGGGAUCCUCCUGCCUCAGUCAGUCGAGCUCCUGGGAUUGUGGGUGUGUGCCACCACACCCGGCUAAUCCCCUUGUUUCUGAUCUCCACCCUUUGAGGGUUUUCUCAGUACAAUGGCCAGAGUGAUCCUUUCAAAGCAUAUAGCUUUUGCUUUCAAUCUCCUGUGGCUGCCAACCCAGAGGCAUUCUCACAAUGCCCCACAUUAUGGAGACCCUCAAUCUGUCUCCAUCCAUCACCUCCCGUGACUUCAUUUUCUACCACUCUCCCAUGUGGACUCCUCUCUAGCUACAAAGGCCUCCUUCCUGUUGGGUGAACAUGCCCGUUUGCUCUACCUCUGGGCCUUUGCACUGCUCCUUCCUCUGCCCAGGUACUCAUCCCCAGAUGUCUGCAUGGCUUCCCUCCUUUCCUCUUCCAAAUCUUUGCUCAGCAUUGCCUUCUGCCCUGACCACCUUAUUUUCUCAGUCUAUUUUACUCUGCUCAUUUCCCCCCUUAGUUCCCAUGACCUGACAUGCUUUAUUUAUUUUAUUAUUACUUAUUCUUUGCUUCUCUCCAUUAGAAUGUCAACUCCUAAUGUCUGUUUGCUCAAUAAUAUAUUCUCUGCCUGGCUCUCAACUUAGAGCUGAGGAAGGAGUGAAUAGAAAUGCAAAGUACUAGGGAUGAUAUUAAAAUUUAAAUUUGCAUAGAAUUUAGAUGUUAGACAUUAGAAAUCAUUUUUAAUUUUUAAAUGAUAACUUCAUAUUUUCCUCCUGAACGUAAUGUUUUAAAUCUGGCUUUACGUUUCAUGGCUCCAUGUAAUUCUUGAUCCAGAUUUUUAAUACCGUUCUCUUCAGAUUCUCGAUAAUCUCCAUUGACAAGAAGCUUUACGUGCAAAAGCCAGCUGCACAUUCAAAAAUUUACAGCAGUUGAAAUUACGUCUAAAGUCUCUCACAGAGCUGUCCCCUUUCUUUCAUUGACAGAUGUAAUGUUAAAAUAUCUAGUGAUAAUGUUAAUGGAUCUGAAUGCUAUCAAACUUUUUCACAUCAAGUAUUUCAAAAUAGAUGCUUUAACCUGUAGCAGGUGAGGGCACUGAUGAAGCAGUCAUUCUGCAGCUUGGAUGCCAGUAAAAGGGCCCAGAAGCUGUCAGUGUUUACAAGUAUUUGAUGUUUGUGAAGACUGAGAGUCGAGCACUGUCUAGAGCUGCAUCUACCAGAAACGCCACCCAGCCUCCCUGCCCCCACCCUUACCCAGCAGCACCUUGGGGUCUGUGCCGUGCUUCUUGGGCACUUAAAAUCCAAAGUCCCCCAGCAGCUCCAUGGGCCUCUUGCCCUAAAAGGUAGUGACCUAUUCUGACCUGGCAAUUCAAACGGACAUCUGGUGGUGGAGCAUCUCCUAGAUUACAACUAGCAUGUCUCAGUCAGCAAACUGUGAUGAAGUUGCUCAGGGUCACUCUCAGUGGACAAGAGCUAUGGAAAAACCCCAUCAUAUCCUGCUCAGCUCCUGCAGUCUCCAAGCAACCUCAGCAAGGGAAUCCAGUGGCCCCAGCCUUCACCUGUGUGUCUGCAGAACUUUGAGGCCCAGAAGGCCACACACCAGUGAGCCACGGCACUCCAUUGUGGAGGAUGGACUCUGAACACUUGCACUGGGGUCUACCGCUGAGCAGCUGUGUGUCCUUGGGUGGGAUCCCUCACUUCUCUAAACUUGAGUUUCCCCAUUUAUAAAUGGGGGAUUUGAAUAAAAUUGAUGUUUGUCAAAUGUUGUCAUGGAUCCCUGGGAUUC